ensembl:lncRNA
GUAUAUAUAUAUAUAUAUGUAUAUAUAUAUAUAUAUGUAUAUAUAUAUAUAUAAUCUAUAUCUCCUGAAUUAGUUCAUGGAGACUAAAUCCUCUCUGGCAUGUUGCUAUAGUUCAAGUUCUAGCAUCAUUCUUUUGAAAUGUGUGUACAUUUAUGUAUAUUAUGUACACCCAUGGGUUCAUAUACACAUACAUAGGUGUAUAUUAGUUUCUAUAAAACGAUAAGUAUAAAUGUCAACAUAAUAUGAAUAUUUACAGCUAACAAUGCUGUAAAUGUGAAUCUUUUAAUUAUUCAUGUAAACAGCUUGUUAGGCGUACUAUUAUUUGUGGACUAAGUGAAUGUAACAUAGUCGUGUGACUCCAAACAUUGAUUCCUCUAAACGGGUUUAAACAAAACGAGAAAAAGUGUUUGUAAAUGUCUAUGAACUAAUAUUCUGUUUUCUGUGAAGUUCAUGGACCAACGGAAUGAAACUAACAGGAGAUAUAAAGUUAAGCUGUUCAUCACAUGACAUGUAAUCACCAGCACGUUGGUGCAGAUACGAGUAAAUGCUCUUUAUAUAUAUAAACACUUGGCUGCCUCUCGACGGGAGCUCAACUCCGUUUAAAACAAACUCAAAAGAUCUUUAAGAAGAAACAGAGCCAAUCUGUCGCCAACAUGACUAAUCCUGCUGGCAGAGGCUCUGCGCGGUUACCACGGUUACCACGGCAACGAGGGGGGUGUGCCAUCCACGACGCGGUACGAAGGGCUGCAGGAGGAUGCGUUUACCGUCGGCCCAUCCGUGUCAAUAAGAGGAAUACUGAGCUGGAGUCAUCGCAGCCGUAGGGUCACAGCAGCGGCACAUGUUUGUAGUCGUCUCUAAUCAACUAAUGACUUCAUUAAUCCGCUUAAGCUCCUCUUUUGUGGAACCAGCUUCCACUUUCUGUCCAGGGGGCAGAUUCGGUCAGCUCAUCUAAGAUAAAGCUUAAGACUUUCCUCUUUGAUAUGGCUUAUAGUUAGGGCUGGCUCAGGUUAGUCUGGACCAGCCCUUAGUUAAGCUGCUGUAGGCUUAGACUCACAGGUUUCCAUGCAUCAUGGUUCUAUCUGGAUCCUGUUCCUGCCUCCUGCCGUGGCCCUGCUGACACCUGCUGCUGCCAUCAUCAGUAUUAUUACUAUUUUAAAUAUGAAUCAUAUUACUAUUACUGUCCACAUAAACCACCAUUUCCUAAAGGCGUGUGCUUUUCCUCCCCACAGGCUUCUGUGGAUGGUGGUUCUAUGUGAUGGUGGUUCUAUGAGGUGGUGGUUCUAUCUGAUGGUGGUUCUAUGAGGUGGUCGUUCUAUGUGAUGGUUCUAUGAGGUGGUCGUUCUAUGUGAUGGUGGUUCUAUGAGGUGGUCGUUCUAUGUGAUGGUGGUUCUAUGAGGUGGUCGUUCUAUGUGAUGGUGGUUCUAUGAGGUGGGGGUUCUAUCUGAUGGUGGUUCUAUGAGGUGGUCGUUCUAUCUGAUGGUGGUUCUAUGAGGUGGUGGUUCUAUGGGAUGGUGGUUCUAUCUGAUGGUGGUUCUAUGUGAUGGUGGUUCUCUCUGAUGGUGGUUCUAUGUGAUGGUGGUUCUAUGUGAUGGUGGUGGUCCCUGCAGUGGUCCUGCAGUACACCUGCUCACUACUCCCAUUAUUUGAAUCAUCUCUGUCAUAUGAAUUGAAUGUAUCGUUCAUCUUCCACAUUGUUCAUUCUGUCCUCAUGACAUCAUCGUAGUCUGUCCAUCAGGAGACGGAUCCUCCUCUGACGUUCUCACUGAGGGUUCUUCCCUUUUCUCCCCAUGGAAGGGUUUCAUUGUUUGGGGAGUUUUUCCUGUGAGGGUAUCUGGACAGAGGAUGUCACAUGUGUACAGACUAAUACCCACUGAGGCAAAUUUGUAAUUUGCAAUUUUAGCUCUACAAAAUAAAAUAAAUUGAAUUGAAUUCAUUAUUUUCUAAUUGAUUUGUGACUUGGUCAACGUUUCUCUUAUAUCAUAAUCAAUUAGAUAUUUUUAUAGCUCAACAAUCCAAAAUCCCACAUUUCCCUUAGAGGGAUUUUAGAAUCUGUUUCAGAACAUAGCGACAUGAUGGAGCCUCACGUCUCUCAUCCGAUCUCCUAUAAUAAUCUACAAUAAUACAGGAG